rnacentral:rRNA from 1 species
ACUGAACGCUGGCGGCAUGCCUUACACAUGCAAGUCGAACGGUAACGCGGGGCAACCUGGCGACGAGUGGCGAACGGGUGAGUAAUGCAUCGGAACGUGCCCAGAAGUGGGGGAUAGCCCGGCGAAAGCCGGAUUAAUACCGCAUGAGACCUGAGGGUGAAAGCGGGGGAUCGCAAGACCUCGCGCUUUUGGAGCGGCCGAUGUCAGAUUAGCUAGUUGGUGGGGUAAAGGCCUACCAAGGCGACGAUCUGUAGCUGGUCUGAGAGGACGACCAGCCACACUGGGACUGAGACACGGCCCAGACUCCUACGGGAGGCAGCAGUGGGGAAUUUUGGACAAUGGGCGCAAGCCUGGUCCAGCCAUGCCGCGUGCGGGAAGAAGGCCUCCGGGUUGUAAACCGCUUUUGUCAGGGAAGAAACGCUCUGGGCUAAUACCCUGGGGUAAUGACGGUACCUGAAGAAUAAGCACCGGCUAACUACGUGCCAGCCGCCGCAGUAA